UGCAUGUGAGGUGCCAGUAAAGAGCAUUGACCCGGUGUUGUCUCCUGACCCAUCAUUUGAACUGCAACACACAAGCACAGCGACACGUUGGCUACAUCUGGUACAAAGCGGAUGGCAGAGAGGCUGUCAACAGCAUCAAGUGUGUGAAGAUCUUCAGUUAUCCAGGUCAUGGUUAUCCAAGAGGAGUUGAGCUGAGGGCAACUGUACAUGGCUGGCUGUUGAUUUUGAGGACGUCUCACCUCUCGUCCAAGAGGCUUCUUCAGUUCUGAAGAAUGAACACCUUCGUCUGGUAGCCUCUCUUCGUGUGGGAUGUGGACUCCAGUAAGGGAACAACAAGUGACUGCGAUAAGACACUCAUGACCUUGACGUCCACAUUUGCUGUGUGAGCAGGGGAGCCGAGCGUGGCAGAGUUAAGGCAGCAGACAAGGCAGUACAUUCAGGAAAACAUAAAGUCCUUCAGAAAUCCAUUGGAUCCUCCUCAGCGAGGCCGUGAUUGGCAACGGUCCUGCCACCACCUUUGGAUGAGAUCCCUUCACUUUCUGGUUUUGCCUGAGGGGGCGGAGUGAGCCCCGAUCCCCCCUCAGGCGCACCCCAGCUGUCAGUGGUGGGUGGGUAGAAAUCAUCAUCGAAGCCACAGAAGCCUUCAUCCACACCCUGAUCAUAGCGCUGGUGUUCGUGGGCGGACCUCCAUACUCAUCGGCCUCGCUGGUUGGCGAACAGGCGUCUUUCUCGCACUCAGCCAAGACGCCUUCCUUCCUCUUGUUGUUCUGCUCUUCAGAGAGGAAGUUGACGAAUCCGUGGAUGUCGCCCUCAGCCAGAAAUCCAGCAGUUUCAUCGUCUGGAUCAGGGGUCGGCAACCUUAAACACUCAAAGAGCCAUUUGGACUGUCUCCCACAAGAAGAGAAAACACCCAGAGCCACAAAACCCUUUUGAC